rnacentral:rRNA from 1 species
CCUACGGGAGGCAGCAGUGGGGGAUAUUGGACAAUGGGGGGAACCCUGAUCCAGCGACGCCGCGUGAGUGAAGAAGUAUUUCGGUAUGUAAAGCUCUGUCAGCAGGGAAGAAAGAACUGACGGUACCUGACCAAGAAGCUCCGGGUAACUACGUGCCAGCAGCCGCGGGAAUACGUAGGGGGCAAGCGUGAUCCGGAAUUACUGGGGUGAAAGGGGGCGUAGGCGGUUUAGUAAGUCUGGAGUGAAAGGCCGGGGCGCAACCCCGGGACUGCUCUGGAAACUAUUGAACUUGAGUGCAGGAGAGGUAAGCGGAAUUCGUGGUGUAGCGGUGAAAUGCGUAGAUAUUAGGAGGAACACCAGUGGCGAAGGCGGCUUACUGGACUGUAACUGACGUUGAGGCUCGAAAGCGUGGGGAGCGAACAGGAUUAGAUACCCCAGUAGUC